GCAUUGGUGGUUCAGUGGUAAAAUUCAUGCCUUCCACGUGGGUGAUCUGGGUUUGAUUCCCAACUAAUGCA
rnacentral:tRNA from 1 species